AGUCUCUGCUUUUAACUAGAUAGCAACUUUCAGCAGUGGAUGUCUAGGCUCGCACAUCGAUGAAGAACGCUGCGAACUGCGAUACGUAAUGCGAAUUGCAGGAUUCAGUGAGUCAUCGAAAUUUUGAACGCAUAUUGCACUUUCGGGUUCUGCCUGGAAGUAUGUCUGUAUCAGUGUCCGUACACUAAACUUGCCUUUCUUGCGUCGUGUAGUCGUCGCUGGGAAUGCGCAGAUGUGAGGUUUUGUCUCGCUCUGGCUCGAAUUCGUUGGGCAGGAGCAAGUCCCUUUAAAGUCGGACGUGUUUUCUCUCUGCGGUGUGCUGUGUCGGCGCUGGCGGCGCGUGGGACUCUCUUGUCUGUUGACGAGUCUGGCGACCUUUGGCUCGCGCAUUGCGGGGUGUGCUCGAUUGGCGGUAUGUUAGGCUUCGGCU
rnacentral:rRNA from 1 species